GAUUGAACGCUGGCGGCAGGCCUAACCCAUGCAAGUCGAACGGUAACAGGAAGAAGCUUGCUUCUUUGCUGACGAGUGGCGGACGGGUGAGUAAUGUCUGGGAAACUGCCUGAUGGAGGGGGAUAACUACUGGAAACGGUAGCUAAUACCGCAUAACGUCGCAAGACCAAAGAGGGGGACCUUCGGGCCUCUUGCCAUCGGAUGUGCCCAGAUGGGAUUAGCUAGUAGGUGGGGUAACGGCUCACCUAGGCGACGAUCCCUAGCUGGUCUGAGAGGAUGACCAGCCACACUGGAACUGAGACACGGUCCAGACUCCUACGGGAGGCAGCAGUGGGGAAUAUUGCACAAUGGGCGCAAGCCUGAUGCAGCCAUGCCGCGUGUAUGAAGAAGGCCUUCGGGUUGUAAAGUACUUUCAGCGGGGAGGAAGGGAGUAAAGUUAAUACCUUUGCUCAUUGACGUUACCCGCAGAAGAAGCACCGGCUAACUCCGUG
rnacentral:rRNA from 1 species